AUUGAACGCUGGCGGCAUGCCUUACACAUGCAAGUCGAACGGUAACAGGUUAAGCUGACGAGUGGCGAACGGGUGAGUAAUGUAUCGGAACGUGCCCAGUCGUGGGGGAUAACUGCUCGAAAGAGCAGCUAAUACCGCAUACGACCUGAGGGUGAAAGCGGGGGAUCGCAAGACCUCGCGCGAUUGGAGCGGCCGGUAUCAGAUUAGGUAGUUGGUGAGGUAAAGGCUCACCAAGCCGACGAUCUGUAGCUGGUCUGAGAGGACGACCAGCCACACUGGGACUGAGACACGGCCCAGACUCCUACGGGAGGCAGCAGUGGGGAAUGUUGGACAAUGGGCGCAAGCCUGAUCCAGCCAUGCCGCGUGCGGGAAGAAGGCCUUCGGGUUGUAAACCGCUUUUGUCAGGGAAGAAAAGGUUCUGGCUAAUACCUGGGACUCAUGACGGUACCUGAAGAAUAAGCACCGGCUAACUACGUG
rnacentral:rRNA from 1 species